rnacentral:misc_RNA from 1 species
GGCUUUUUAUUUAUGAUCAUUAAGUCCGAAUUAUGAUACUAAGUCUCAGAUCAAAAAUUCUGUUGCCUGCCUACAAGUGCAUUAAUAUUAUUGCACCUGUAAAAAAAUGUCAAGUUCUGAAUAGAUUCUUUUACACUUCUGUCCCACAAAAUUGUAAGCCUGAAAAAUUGAUAUUGGAUGUUAAUCAAGCUAAAGAUCAACUUUUGUUUGUUGUCAACCAUGACAAAUUUAUAAGGCUUAUGAAUAUUUUUGGUAUCUCACAAUGCAUCUUCUGGGUAUCUAUAGGCUUUACUGCAAAAGCUAUGAAAACUGUCCCUGUUGUGGAGCCAACUGCAGAACUGCCAUGGUGGAGGACGUAUGAUUUCUCCAAGUACAAGUAUCAUAUUUCCAUUUCAGCCUUUUGCAUUGGUUAUGUAGUACUAGGUGGAUGUUGGCUCUAUGCUUUACGCACAAUUCAUCACAUAGUAUUACGCAAAGGUGGAAAGACUGUCACUAUUUCCACUUACACUCCAUUUUUCAAGAAAAGGUUCAUAACUGUGCCUCUUGAAGAGGUGUCUGCUAAAACUUCAAGAAUUGGAGGCUCCUACAUGUCACUUAAGUUGCAAGGACGCCCAUUUCACUAUUUGGUUGAUGGUCGAGGAAAUUUCGUUAGGCCAGAGCUUUUUGAUAGAACUGUUGGAGUGCGUCGGGAUUUUAAAGCCUCAAGAUAAACUGUUUGCUUUCUAUGUACCUACUAUAGGAGGAAUGCUUUUUGGAAGAGGAAUUGUUUAUUUUAUGAAUUUACUUUUUUCAGCAGACCUAAUGUAGUUCAUUAAAACAUUGCCGAAGGCAUUUUUAGUUUUGUCUGUUAAUCAAGUCUCAACUUAUACCAAAACGAGUAGUCUGUGGAGAACAGUUGAGCUUUUAGUACUGGUAACUAUUGAGCUUUAUCAUUGUGGCUGAUUGUGGUGAGUAAAUGAGGAAAAAACUCUGAUUUUUCAAAUUAUAACAUCUGCUGCCAGUGUAAACAUGAUUUUUCAUAGCUCAAUUUAUUGAAAUCUUAUUUAUUUACAGGUUAUUGCUAGGAGAAGGAUUUUAUCCAUUAUAAGUAGAGAACUAAUCAAACCUAAAUAUAGACAGCUUCUAAUUAAAUUGAGAUUAUUUUUGAAUGAAUAAAAUUUCGAAGUUUGAAAAUGUUGUCCAAAGUAGCAAACUUUACUUGCCUGCAUUUGUGCUUUAGAGCACUGCAUAGUUCUGCUCCCGCAAAUAUGCCGCGUACUGGCAUUAUGAAAGUGAAUAAUUGGGGCAUCAACUUCAACUGUUGGCAUAAUAAUCUUUGCUUAUUAGUGGAAAACACUAGGUGCAUUAGUGGAAAACAUCACAUGGAAAAGGUGCCGCAGUUUCUGAGUACUUCAAGAUCUAAUCCUUAUCAAUCUAGAUCAUUGCACUCACAAACUGCCUCAAAGCCCAAACUUGACAUGAAAAUUCUGAAUGAAUCACUUCGUGAGAAUGGUAAAGUCUUGUUUACCCACAACAAUGGUAAAGAAAGUGUGAUUUAUAAUAUAUUGGCUUUUGGACUUUGUGGUUUUCUAACAUAUAUGGGUUAUAUCAUUUAUACUUCCGAGGACUAUGAGGUGAUUGAAGACCGCCCUAGCACGGAAGACUUUCAUCCUUUUUAUCAAUAUCUCAACUUUAAUCCUUUGAAACCGUACAUCGCAUCCGCUUUUCUGGCUGCAGGGGUGUUCACGAUAGGUGCUAUCAUGAACCACUCUCUGCGAUGUGUGAGGUCUCUGACGCUGCUUCCUGAUGGGCUGACCGUCAUGGUCACGACAAACUCGUUCAGCGGUGCUGCCCGCACUCGUCAAGUCCCCCGAAUGCAGCUGCGCACUGAAAAGCUAAAUUACCUUCUUGGGGGGUACGAUUCGUGCCGAUUGCACAGGCAGGGCCAGCGCCUGAGCUACAUUAUGGAUGUUCGCGGGACUGUUCACGACCCGCGCGCUCUGGCGUCUCUUUUCUCGCAUAGCAACGACUUUGCUCAAGUACCAGAGUCUGAACGAGUCGACUAAGCUAGUCCAGUUGAAAAUAUAUAUUAAGAAUCAUGUCAACAUGGUUUGAUUGUAUUGUGCAUAAAUUAUUGAAAUGUAACCUACAAGUAACACUUAUACUACGAAGGAAAAGUUGAACGAGAUAGUUUUGUGCUUAUAGAAUUAUACUAUAAAAUUCUCGAAAGAAUAUAACACAUCACUCAUCAAUCAACAAAAGUUAACAAAUCA